rnacentral:rRNA from 1 species
AGCAGCCGCGGUAAUUCCAGCUCCAAUAGCGUAUAUUAAAGUUGUUGCAGUUAAAAAGCUCGUAGUUGAAUUUCGGGAUCAAUACGUUGGUCGUGCUUCGGUACGUACUGGCGUAAUUGAUUUCUCCCUUCUGACGAACCAUGAUGUCAUUAACUUGGUGUCAUGGGAAAUCAGGACUGUUACUUUGAAAAAAUUAGAGUGUUUAAAGCAGGCAUUAGCUUGAAUACAUUAGCAUGGAAUAAUGAAAUAGGACGUUUGACCCUAUUUUGUUGGUUUUUAGGAUCGACGUAAUGAUUAAUAGGGAUAGUUGGGGGCAUUAGUAUUCAAUUGUCAGAGGUGAAAUUCUUGGAUUUAUUGAAGACUAACUACUGCGAAAGCAUUUGCCAAGGAUGUUUUCAUUAAUCAAGAACGAAAGUUAGGGGAUCGAAGACGAUCAGAUACCGUCGUAGUCUUAACCAUAAACUAUGCCGACUAGGGAUCGGAUGAUGUUAAUUUUUAAUGACUCAUUCGGCGCCUUACG